UACGUAGGUGGCAAGCGUUGUCCGGAUUUACUGGGCGUAAAGAGCUCGUAGGCGGUGUGUCGCGUCGGCCGUGAAAACCUGCAGCUUAACUGUGGGCUUGCGGUCGAUACGGGCAUCACUGGAGUUCGGCAGGGGAGACUGGAAUUCCUGGUGUAGCGGUGAAAUGCGCAGAUAUCAGGAGGAACACCGGUGGCGAAGGCGGGUCUCUGGGCCGAUACUGACGUUGAGGAGCGAAAGCGUGGGGAGCAAACAGG
rnacentral:rRNA from 1 species